rnacentral:rRNA from 1 species
UCUGCGGGGGGCACCCUGACCGCAAUGCCGCGUGAGUGAAGAAGGCCUUCGGGUUGUAAAGCUCUUUUGUCAGGGAAGAAACACCGGCUCUAACACAGUCCGGGAAUGACGGUACCUGAAGAAUAAGCACCGGCUAACUACGUGCCAGCAGCCGCGGUAAUACGUAGGGUGCAAGCGUUAAUCUGAAUUACUGGGCGUAAAGCGUGCGCAGGCGGUUAUACAAGACAGGCGUGAAAUCCCCGGGCAUAACCUGGGAAUGGCGCCUGUGACUGUAUAGCUAGAGUGUGUCAGAGGGGGGUAGAAUUCCACGUGUGGGAGUAAAAUGGGUAGAUAUGUGGAGGAAAACAAAUGGCGAAGGCAGCCCCCUGGGAUAACACUGACGCUCAUGCACCAAA